AUUGAACGCUGGCGGCAUGCCUUACACAUGCAAGUCGAACGGUAACGCGGGGCAACCUGGCGACGAGUGGCGAACGGGUGAGUAAUGCAUCGGAACGUGCCCAGUAGUGGGGGAUAGCCCGGCGAAAGCCGGAUUAAUACCGCAUACGACCUAUGGGUGAAAGCGGGGGAUCGCAAGACCUCGCGCUAUUGGAGCGGCCGAUGUCAGAUUAGCUAGUUGGUGGGGUAAUGGCCUACCAAGGCGACGAUCCGUAGCUGGUCUGAGAGGACGACCAGCCACACUGGGACUGAGACACGGCCCAGACUCCUACGGGAGGCAGCAGUGGGGAAUAUUGGACAAUGGGGGCAACCCUGAUCCAGCGACGCCGCGUGUGUGAAGAAGGCCUGCGGGUUGUAAAGCACUUUUAGUGGGGAGGAUAAUGACGGUACCCGCAGAAUAAGCCCCGGCUAACUUCGUG
rnacentral:rRNA from 1 species